CCACCCGAGGACGAGCCCUCCCCAACGUCGGCAGUCAGACUGAAGCUUAUGAGAAGCUGUCAAUACUGAAUGAAGUCUAUGAGCAAGAACUUGUCUCACUUGGCAUUGAUACGAAGGCCAUUAAGGUUGAUAUCGAGAAAAGAUUUGCUAAACAGAAACAAGAAAGAGAAAACCUCAGAGAGAGAUAGAGGGAAAAGAUGAGGCAUAGAAAGAAGAUGAUCGAGGCAAAGAAAUGGAAGAAGUUAAGGAUGACAGAGCCGACAUGGACAUUGAAGUUGAGGAGGUACGAUUGUAGCAUACAAGCAUAUUUAUAUAUCAAAGCUAUCCUAGAAGAAAAGGAGGUCAUGGACAUUGAGGCUUUACAAAAGGAGUCUGAGAUGUUAAGGGCAUGACUUGCUGCUCAAAUUAUAUGCGAAGACUGAGAACUGAAAAAGCCUACACUAAAGUUAGAUGCAGAUGAUCCAAAAUAUUUUUUGUAUUUUGGAGGUAAUGAUGUACCAUGAUUGAGUGGAAGUAUUAGACAAACAUGUAUAACAUAAUUUUGUGAUGGAUGUGGCUAAUUUUUUUUCUUUGUAAAGUUUGAAACUU